CAAAUUUAAAACCCUGUGGCAGAUGCAAUUGAUUAGACAGUAUUACCACCACCCCUGCUGUACGCUAGAUACUACUGCUACCACCAUUCCACCACUGCCUGCUGUCCGCUGGAUACUGUAACUCCCACCAAUGCUGGAAUAUUGCUCAACUGGCCUUCUUGGGCUUUAUAAGAUCUAACGGACUAAAAUUGUUACCCAGAAAUAAUUUAUUAAGUUUGGAGUUCUCUACAUUUCGAAUGACAACAAUGUUUUAGAGUCUGAGCACCUGAUGCCCAUGCAAAGUAUGUUUACGAUAUGUCACCCAGAAAGCUUUGUGAUUGUGG